rnacentral:rRNA from 1 species
AUUGAACGCUGGCGGAAUGCUUUACACAUGCAAGUCGAACGGCAGCACGGGGGCAGCCCUGGUGGCGAGUGGCGAACGGGUGAGUAAUACAUCGGAACGUGCCCGGUCGUGGGGGAUAACGUAGCGAAAGUUACGCUAAUACCGCAUACGAUCUGAGGAUGAAAGCGGGGGACCUUCGGGCCUCGCGCGAUCGGAGCGGCCGAUGGCAGAUUAGGGAGUUGGUGGGGGAGUGGCUUACCAAGCCGACGAUGGGUAGCUGGUCUGAGAGGGCGACCGGCCACAUUGGGACUGAGAUACGGCACAGACUCCUACGGGAGGAAGCAGUGGGGAAUAUUGCACAAUGGGCGGAAGCAUGAUGCAGCAACGCCGCGUGCGGGAUGACGGCCUUCGGGGUGUAAACCGCUUUCGCCUGUGACGAAGCGGGAGUGACGGUAAUGGGUAAAGAAGCACCGGCUAACUACGUG